rnacentral:rRNA from 1 species
GAUGAACGCUGGCUACAGGCUUAACACAUGCAAGUCGAGGGGAAACGACGGGGAAGCUUGCUUCCCCGGGCGUCGACCGGCGCACGGGUGAGUAACGCGUAUCCAACCUGCCUCUGACUGAGGGAUAACCCGUCGAAAGUCGGCCUAAUACCUCAUGGCAUCGUCUGCGGGCAUCCAACGACGAUUAAAGAUUUCAUCGGUCAGAGAUGGGGAUGCGUCUGAUUAGCUUGUUGGCGGGGUAACGGCCCACCAAGGCGACGAUCAGUAGGGGUUCUGAGAGGAAGGUCCCCCACAUUGGAACUGAGACACGGUCCAAACUCCUACGGGAGGCAGCAGUGAGGAAUAUUGGUCAAUGGGCGAGAGCCUGAACCAGCCAAGUAGCGUGCAGGAUGACGGCCCUAUGGGUGGUAAACUGCUUUUAGGCGGGGAUAAAGUGAGGGACGUGUCCUUCAUUGCAGGUACCGCAUGAAUAAGGACCGGCUAAUUCCGUG